rnacentral:rRNA from 1 species
GGUGAACGCUGGCGGUAGGCCUAACACAUGCAAGUCGAACGGCAGCACAGUAAGAGCUUGCUCUUACGGGUGGCGAGUGGCGGACGGGUGAGGAAUACAUCGGAAUCUACUUUUUCGUGGGGGAUAACGUAGGGAAACUUACGCUAAUACCGCAUACGACCUACGGGUGAAAGCAGGGGAUCUUCGGACCCUGCGCGAUUGAAUGAGCCGAUGUCGGAUUAGCUAGUUGGCGGGGUAAAGGCCCACCAAGGCGACGAUCCGUAGCUGGUCUGAGAGGAUGAUCAGCCACACUGGAACUGAGACACGGUCCAGACUCCUACGGGAGGCAGCAGUGGGGAAUAUUGGACAAUGGGCGCAAGCCUGAUCCAGCCAUACCGCGUGGGUGAAGAAGGCCUUCGGGUUGUAAAGCCCUUUUGUUGGGAAAGAAAAGCAGCAGGUUAAUACCCCGCUGUUCUGACGGUACCCAAAGAAUAAGCACCGGCUAACUUCGUG